AAGCCAAAACACACCAGUACAUGCUUACAUGGAUCCUAGCUAUGAUGACUAAAUUUGACUAUUUAGGAUGAAUAUAUGAGGAGUCAUAAGCUAAAACGUUAUUAAUACACACACACAGCCUGAACUAUUGGCCGGUUAAGGCUGAGACUUAGUAAAUUCAGGGUUUUAACUUUAGCAUUGAAUUUUUUAACCCUUCAAUAUGUAGUAGGUGAUCACAUGAUGUGAGCAGAGCUUGAACUCCUGCCUGAAGGAGCGCUCGUUCAAGCGAUGAAGAAUUCUCUUCCACCUGGAAGUUGAGAAGGGUCAUCCACAAGACAACCUUGAGGGGGGGAAAAUGCUACUUUUCCUGGCCAUGAAACAAGCACUGAUUGUCUCUGAAAGAGUGAAGUUGUGUCUGUGUUUCUCUGUGUGUGUAUGUGUUAUCACAGAAGACAUUAAGAUUUGCUUUCAUUUACACUAAAAUGAAAGUACAACUAGUCACUCUUCCUUCGAUUCAUUCCCCAGUUAAAUCAUCUGCAGAAGUCAGAGAGUGAACACUGAUUUCUGCGACACACUCACGCUUAUUGAUUCUUCGGCCGACAGUGAUGGCGUCUAAAACGUUAAUUUUCUUCGACCUGGAGACCACGGGACUACAAACUGAUGUGUGUAACAUCAUCCAGGUGUCAGCCAUCUGUGAAGGACGUGCCUUUAAUGGCUACGCUGUUCCUGAGCUACCCCUCAGCGAACAUGUGAGGAAUCUCACAGGCUUCACCGUUGAUGGUCCCUACCUGUAUCGGCAUGGUGUUGUAAUGCAAACCCUCUUGGUGAAAGAUCUUCUUAGGCGUUUUAUCGACUACCUGAGUCAGUUCUACUGUCCACUACUGGUGGCCCACAAUGCAGAAAUGUUUGAUGCUCCUGUGAUCAUGAGAGUGAUGGCAGAGAACGGCCUUCUGCAGAGGUUCAGGCAGGUGGUGUCUGGCUUUGUGGACACCUACCAGCUAAUUAAGCGCCUCAGUCCUUGUUUACCUGGCUAUUCCCUAACGGCCCUGGCCAGGCAAUUCCUUGGCCAACGAUUUGAUGCACAUAAUGCUCUGGAGGACGCCAAGAUCCUGGAGAAGCUAUUCAUCACCUGGAGGCCUUCUAAGCACCAUGUUGACAUGUGUACCUCCAGCAUUUGA
rnacentral:lncRNA from 1 species